GCCGGGUUGAUAGUUAUCGAUUGGACUGAUUCGUGAUCAGUAGGUCGGUGGUUCGAGUCCACUCACCGGCACCA
rnacentral:tRNA from 1 species